AUGAUCUGUACACUGAAUACAGUCCGAUCUUUUAUAUUUGAGUAAACCUAAAUGAAGUAUUGUGUUGUACCAAUCAUAUUUUUAUUGGUGAAUAUUAUAAUCACAAGUUAUGUGUAGAGGGUAGAAGCUAAUCAAUCUAAUUGUGACGUAUUAAAAAAAAGGUGACGUGUUUAGUAGCUUGGUACUUUAGAAGAGACCAUUAAAAAAAUCGAAUAUAGUGAAAACUGCAAUUUGUUUAAAUUCAAUACGAGAACAAUCGAAAAUAUUAAAAAAAAAAGGGUUGAAGAGAAAUUUGAACCCGGAUUGAAAUAUGUAUGUUUAGUGAAGUCAAUAUAAACAUAGGUCUAAAGGGAUACGCCCAAACCAAAGUUUAUAUCUUUCGAAUUGUCCUGUGAUGAUAUAUGUGUGACCUAAUGAUACAGGAGAUAAGUUAGUAAUUACUUCUAUUGUUAAUUGUUACUGAACACAAUCAUUUACGCAGUAAGGCAAUCUUUGACCACUACCCAUACCAGAGAAGACUUGAAUCUGAUGCUAAAUCAAUAGCAUCAAAAUUAGUGGCAAUGAAAGUCAAUAAAAAUUUUUUUAAAAAUGAGUUGAUGACACAACAUAAUAAAAUUAUAACUUUAAAGGACAUACAUAACUUGACUUUAACAAAUUCUCCUAAGUUAGAUGCCUUAAAAUCUUGAGCUGAAAGUUUUAAAAACAAAUAAGGAGUUACUUUGGAAAUAUUGAAUAAUAAUAAUAAUAAUAAUAAUGAGUUAAAGGCCAUAUUCUAUCAAGAUGAUGAGAUGAAAAGAAUAUUUGCAUUAUGUCCUGAAAUGCUAUUUGUGGACACAACAUAUAAAGUGAAUGAUUUGACUCUACCACUUUAUGUAUUUUUAGGUUUGUACAAUUUCAGCAUUUAUGUUUUUUAACCUAUUUUAAGCAUAAAUAAAUGCUUAAAUGUUACCUACUUUAUGUUUUCAUUUGUUGAUAGUAAU